AAAGCCUCUAAGCAUCAGGUAACAUCAAAUCGUACCCCAAACCGACACAGGUGGUCAGGUAGAGAAUACCAAGGCGCUUGAGAGAACUCGGGUGAAGGAACUAGGCAAAAUGGUGCCGUAACUUCGGGAGAAGGCACGCUGAUAUGUAGGUGAAGCGACUUGCUCGUGGAGCUGAAAUCAGUCGAAGAUACCAGCUGGCUGCAACUGUUUAUUAAAAACACAGCACUGUGCAAACACGAAAGUGGACGUAUACGGUGUGACGCCUGCCCGGUGCCGGAAGGUUAAUUGAUGGGGUCAGCGCAAGCGAAGCUCUUGAUCGAAGCCCCGGUAAACGGCGGCCGUAACUAUAACGGUCCUAAGGUAGCGAAAUUCCUUGUCGGGUAAGUUCCGACCUGCACGAAUGGCGUAAUGAUGGCCAGGCUGUCUCCACCCGAGACUCAGUGAAAUUGAACUCGCUGUGAAGAUGCAGUGUACCCGCGGCAAGACGGAAAGACCCCGUGAACCUUUACUAUAGCUUGACACUGAACACUGGUCCUUGAUGUGUAGGAUAGGUGGGAGGCUUUGAAGUGUGGACGCCAGUCUGCAUGGAGCCGUCCUUGAAAUACCACCCUUUAAUGGCUGGUGUUCUAACGUUGGCCCGUAAUCCGGGUUGCGGACAGUGUCUGGUGGGUAGUUUGACUGGGGCGGUCUCCUCCUAAAGAGUAACGGAGGAGCACGAAGGUUGGCUAAUCCUGGUCGGACAUCAGGAGGUUAGUGCAAUGGCAUAAGCCAGCUUGACUGCGAGCGUGACGGCGCGAGCAGGUGCGAAAGCAGGUCAUAGUGAUCCGGUGGUUCUGAAUGGAAGGGCCAUCGCUCAACGGAUAAAAGGUACUCCGGGGAUAACAGGCUGAUACCGCCCAAGAGUUCAUAUCGACGGCGGUGUUUGGCACCUCGAUGUCGGCUCAUCACAUCCUGGGGCUGAAGUAGGUCCCAAGGGUAUGGCUGUUCGCCAUUUAAAGUGGUACGCGAGCUGGGUUUAGAACGUCGUGAGACAGUUCGGUCCCUAUCUGCCGUGGGCGCUGGAGAACUGAGGGGGGCUGCUCCUAGUACGAGAGGACCGGAGUGGACGCAUCACUGGUGUUCGGGUUGUCAUGCCAAUGGCACUGCCCGGUAGCUAAAUGCGGAAGAGAUAAGUGCUGAAAGCAUCUAAGCACGAAACUUGCCCCGA
rnacentral:rRNA from 1 species